rnacentral:tRNA from 1 species
ACCUCAGUAGCUCAGUGGUAGAGCACCCGGAAGAGAAGGAAGGUCGUUGGGUUCGAACCCCACCUGAGGUA